GGUAAAGUAGCUUAAUGGUAGAGUGCUUGCCUAGCAUGCAUGAAGCCCUGGGUUCAAUUCCCCAGUACCA
rnacentral:tRNA from 1 species